UUGAACUCAGGACCUUUGGAAGAGCAGGCAAUGCUCUUAACCAUCUCUCCAGCCCCUGUUUUGAAAUUUCAAUUUCUUUUGAAUUCUGCUUCAUUCACAUUCUCAAGUCAGAGGGAGAUUAGAGACGGAUUCUUUGCCACAGCCCCAAUGCAACAUCAACAGACUCCAACUGAGCUUCUGACAAAGUCCCUGUUCCCCUCCGAAAGCUCACGAGUACUACAUCCUUAUUGGGUAUUCAACUUAGAAGUGCCUUCUGGACUGGUGAGAUGGGUCAGCACAAACCUAAUAAGCAGAUGUCAGUCACUGGCCCAUGUGAAAAUGUCUGACUUAUGUGCACAUCUGGAACCGCAGCACUCCUGUGGGUGAGACAGCAGGACACACGGAAGAAUUGCCUGUAAACUCACAGCCAGCUACCGGGAGCACACAGAGUAACAGAAACGAAAGAUACGACUGUGACAAGGUCAGAAUUGGCAUUUCCACGAACAUAUGGCCUACAGAGAUGUUGAGAAUGACAGGCACGGGCAAGGGAAGGCCAGAGGAGGCUGAAGACGGAGUCCUAGGGCAAACCCAAGGACCAGGGAGAUGGCAAAGCUCUGAAGGAGUAUUGGACCCUCUGAGCUUGCUCUCUUACAGAAUGCAGGACUAGCAGGUGGCACCUCC